rnacentral:rRNA from 1 species
UACGUAGGGUGCAAGCGUUAAUCGGAAUUACUGGGCGUAAAGCGUGCGCAGGCGGUGAUGUAAGACAGAUGUGAAAAUCCCCGGGCUCAACCUGGGAACUGCAUUUGUGACUAGCAUCGCUGGAGUGCGGCAGAGGGGGAUGGAAUUCCGCGUGUAGCAGUGAAAUGCGUAGAUAUGCGGAGGAACACCGAUGGCGAAGGCAAUCCCCUGGGCCUGCACUGACGCUCAUGCACGAAAGCGUGGGGAGCAACAGG